GAACGCUGGCGGCGGGCUUAACACAUGCAAGUCGAAGGAGAAGGUAGGUGCUUGCACUUACUGGAGACUGGCGGACGGGUGAGUAACGCGUAGAUAACCUGCCUAUAUCUGGGGGAUAACAUUCCGAAAGGGAUGCUAAUACCGCAUAAUGCAGCGGGGCUGCAUGGCCACAGUUGUUAAAGGUUUCGGCCGGAUAUAGAGGGGUCUGCGUACUAUUAGUUAGUUGGUGAGGUAACGGCUUACCAAGGCGAUGAUAGUUAGGGGGUCUGAGAGGAUGAUCCCCCACACUGGGACUGAGACACGGCCCAGACUCCUACGGGAGGCAGCAGUGAGGAAUCUUGCGCAAUGGAGGAAACUCUGACGCAGCCACGCCGCGUGCCGGAAGACGGCCCUAUGGGUUGUAAACGGCUUUUGAAAGGGAAGAACGCCCGGGUUUCGACCUGGGGUGACGGUACCUUUUGAAUAAGCACCGGCUAACUCCGUGCCAGCAGCCGCGGUAAUACGGAGGGUGCAAGCGUUGUCCGGAAUCAUUGGGUGUAAAGGGUGCGUAGGUGGGAGCCUAAGUCUGUGGUGAAAUCUUGCCGCUUAACGGUAAAAUUGCCAUGGAUACUGGGUUUCUUGAGUACAGAAGAGGUCGGUGGAAUUCGUAGUGUAGCGGUGAAAUGCGUAGAUAUCGGGAGGAACACCAGUGGCGAAGGCGGCUUGCUGGACCAACACUGACGCUGAGGCACGAAAGCGUGGGUAGCAAACAGGAUUAGAUACCCUGGUAGUCCACGCCCUAAACGAUGAGAACUGGUCGUUCGGUGCAUUUACGCGCUGAGUGACGAAGCUAACGCGUUAAGUUCUCCGCCUGGGGAGUACGACCGCAAG
rnacentral:rRNA from 1 species